rnacentral:rRNA from 1 species
UACGUAGGGUGCGAGCGUUGUCCGGAAUUAUUGGGCGUAAAGGGCUCGUAGGCGGUUUGUCGCGUCGGGAGUGAAAACCUCGGGCUUAACUCGGGGCUUGCUUUCGAUACGGGCAGACUAGAGUGCGGUAGGGGAGACUGGAAUUCCUGGUGUAGCGGUGAAAUGCGCAGAUAUCAGGAGGAACACCGGUGGCGAAGGCGGGUCUCUGGGCCGUAACUGACGCUGAGGAGCGAAAGCGUGGGGAGCGAACAGG